AGGAUGAACGCUAGCGACAGGCCUAACACAUGCAAGUCAGGGGCAGCACAAGGAGCAAUCUGAGGUGGCGACCGGCGCACGGGUGAGUAACACGUAUGCAACCUGCCUGUAAGCGGGGAAUAACCCGUUGAAAGACGGACUAAUACCGCAUAAUACUAAAUUACUGCAUGGUAAUUUAUUUAAACAUUUAUGGCUUACAGAUGGGCAUGCGCAUGAUUAGCUAGUUGGAGAGGUAACGGCUCCCCAAGGCAACGAUCAUUAGGGGUUCUGAGAGGAAGGUCCCCCACACUGGUACUGAGACACGGACCAGACUCCUACGGGAGGCAGCAGUGAGGAAUAUUGGUCAAUGGACGAGAGUCUGAACCAGCCAAGUCGCGUGCAGGAAGAAUGUUCCCUAUGGAUUGUAAACUGCUUUUGCAGGGGAAUAAAGUGCAUCACGUGUGAUGUUUUGUAUGUACUCUGCGAAUAAGGAUCGGCUAACUCCGUGCCAGCCGCCGC
rnacentral:rRNA from 1 species